rnacentral:rRNA from 1 species
AUUGAACGCUGGCGGCAUGCCUUACACAUGCAAGUCGAACGGCAGCACGGGAGCAAUCCUGGUGGCGAGUGGCGAACGGGUGAGUAAUAUAUCGGAACGUGCCCAGUCGUGGGGGAUAACGUAGCGAAAGCUACGCUAAUACCGCAUACGAUCUACGGAUGAAAGCGGGGGAUCGCAAGGCCUCGCGCGAUUGGAGCGGCCGAUAUCAGAUUAGCUAGUUGGUGGGGUAAAAGCUCACCAAGGCGACGAUCUGUAGCUGGUCUGAGAGGACGACCAGCCACACUGGAACUGAGACACGGUCCAGACUCCUACGGGAGGCAGCAGUGGGGAAUUUUGGACAAUGGGCGCAAGCCUGAUCCAGCAAUGCCGCGUGCAGGAUGAAGGCCUUCGGGUUGUAAACUGCUUUUGUACGGAACGAAACGGUGAGCUCUAAUAAAGCUUGCUAAUGACGGUACCGUAAGAAUAAGCACCGGCUAACUACGUG